rnacentral:rRNA from 1 species
CAAUUGAAGGGUUUGAUCCUGGCUCAGAAUGAACGUUGGCGGCGUGGAUUAGGCAUGCAAGUCGAGCGAGAAGGUUCCUUCGGGAACUGGACAGCGGCGAAAGGGAGAGUAACGCGUAGAUAUCUGCCUCGAGGCCCGGGAUAGCGGCGGGAAACUGCCGGUAAUACCGGAUAACAUCUCCGGAUCAAAGGUGUGAUUCCGCCUCGAGAUGAGUCUGCGUCCUAUUAAUGCUUGUUGGUGUGGUAACGGCGCACCAAGGCGAAGAUGGGUACCGGGUGUGAGAGCAUGGCCCGGCUCACUGGGACUGAGACACUGCCCAGACACCUACGGGUGGCUGCAGUCGAGAAUCUUCGGCAAUGGGCGAAAGCCUGACCGAGCGACGCCGCGUGCGGGAUGAAGGCCCUCGGGUUGUAAACCGCUGUCAGUAGGGAGCAAAUCUCUUGGGGUUAUCCCCUUGAGUUGAGCGAUCUUCAGAGGAAGUACGGGCUAAGUUCGUGCCAGCAGCCGCGGUAAGACGAACCGUACGAACGUUAUUCGGAAUCACUGGGCUUAAAGAGUCCGUAGGCGGCCGUGUAGGUGGGAUGUGAAAGCCCUCGUCUCAACCGAGGAAUUGCGUUCCAAACCACAUGGCUUGAGGAGGAUAGAGGUGAGCGGAACUGAUGGUGGAGCGGUGAAAUGCGUUGAUAUCAUCAGGAACACCAGAGGCGAAGGCGGCUCACUGGGUCCUUUCUGACGCUGAGGGACGAAAGCUAGGGGAGCAAACGGGAUUAGAUACCCCGGUAGUCCUAGCUGUAAAC